UGGGGAGCAAACAGGAUUAGAUACCCUGGUAGUCCACGCCGUAAACGAUGAGUACUAAGUGUCGGGUUAAACCGGUACUGAAGUUAACACAUUAAGUACUCCGCCUGAGUAGUACGUACGCAAGUAUGAAACUUAAAGGAAUUGACGGGACUCCGCACAAGCGGUGGAUCAUGUUGUUUAAUUCGAAGAUACCCGAAAAACCUUACCAGGUCUUGACAUGUUUUUGCGAAACGGUAGUAAUAUCGUGGAGGUUAUCAGAAACACAGGUGGUGCA
rnacentral:rRNA from 1 species